rnacentral:rRNA from 1 species
UCCUACGGGAGGCAGCAGUAGGGUAUCUUCCACAAUGGAAUAAAGCCUAAUGUAGCACCGCCGAGUAAGUUAAAAAGGUUUUCGGAUCGUAAAGCUCUGUUGUUGGUAGAGAAGAAUAGAGUUAGUAGCUGGCCUUUGUUUGACGGU